GUGUACAUGCCUCUCCUCAGGAUGCUCCACACACUGUCUCAUGCCCCACGCAGCACAGUGAAGUCAUUUAAGAGACAGCUGAACCUUCACUAGUGCUCUUGUAUUCCCUACCAGAUUGUGCAGCUCCUAAUCAGGAAAACCAAAAGCCAUCCAACAGGUAGAUGGGUGUAUUUUGCUGAUCAACACGCCCACAUGAGAGGAUUAUUUAAGGAAGCACACAUUCCCUGGCAGUCAUCUGUUUAACUAGCUGUUAACAGGUAGCAUAUCUCUUCUGAAGAAACUACAGCAAAUUGUUGCUCACAACUGUCCUAUUGUGCAGCUCCUAAUCAGGAAAACCAAAAGCCAUCCAACAGGUUGUGGAGAUAUGAGGUAUGAUAAGAGACCACCCUCUCCCUAUGGCAAAUCCCAUUAUAAAAACACCAUCAGGGUAAGGCUCGGCAAAUGGCGAUCUUGGGUUAUACAAACUCAAAGGAACCCAAUUUCUUUAGCUAAGACUGUUGUGCAUCUAAAGAGAG